GCGGGCGUCGUAUAAUGGCUAUUACCUCAGGUUUCCAACCUGAAGAUACGGGUUCGAUUCCCGUCGCCCGCUCCA
rnacentral:tRNA from 6 species